GACGAACGCUGGCGGCGUGCCUAAUACAUGCAGGUAGAACGCUGAAGGAGGAGCUUGCUUCUCUGGAUGAGUUGCGAACGGGUGAGUAACGCGUAGGUAACCUACCUGGUAGCGGGGGAUAACUAUUGGAAACGAUAGCUAAUACCGCAUAAUAUUGAUUAUUGCAUGAUAGUCAAUUAAAAGGUGCAAUUGCACCACUACCAGAUGGACCUGCGUUGUAUUAGCUAGUUGGUGGGGUAACGGCUCACCAAGGCGACGAUACGUAGCCGACCUGAGAGGGUGAUCGGCCACACUGGGACUGAGACACGGCCCAGACUCCUACGGGAGGCAGCAGUAGGGAAUCUUCGGCAAUGGACGGAAGUCUGACCGAGCAACGCCGCGG
rnacentral:rRNA from 1 species